GUGUGGUGUGGGGUGGUGCUUCGUGCUCUUGCCCUGUCCCUCCACUAAUGCAGGCUUUUUUCAAAGGGAGACGUACACCAAUAACACAAUCCUUUGGUCAACAUUGAAAAAACUGUCCAGACCGCAAUGGCUUCAAGUGAUUCCUCUCACCAACACGAAUUCAACAAUGGAGCCUUUUUUUCGUUGCUACAUGGUCACAUUCAACCAUACAUGUUUCAACCGGAAUAUAGCGAAGAGGAUUUGAAACAAAGAGUUGAAUUUAGCUAAAAGCUCAGCUACAGCCAAUGGCAGCACCAAGAGGGAAGAUCACAAAUAUUGUGGCUUGCUAAGUAUGACCGGAAAGCUGUCGACUUCAGGAAGUGGAGCCCAAAGGGAAAAAUAAAGGACAAAUGAAGAGGUGAAGAAGGCAGGAACUUCCUGGGAUGAAGCCAAGAAUACUACCCAGAACAAGGUUCCCUGGAGAUGCUCUGUUGAGGCCCUUUGCACCACAACAAACUCAAACGAAUAUGUCAAGUCAGGAACUGGAGAGCAGUUACAGUAUGGUGAAAUGUAGUCAGAUCAUUCAGGUCAGACAUGACGCCCGAUGACCUCCCACCAACGCCCCUCUCCUGUCAGUGAGAGAUGGAGUGGUCUCUGAUGGGUGGUCCCCUGGGUGGGCUCACACACCUGCACUCUUAGCACUGUCUGACUGGGCAUUUUCCUAAUGUUGGGAACCUACUUAUCUUGGUUGAAUGACAGUCCUACACUCUCCAGGCAGAUGAAUGUACAGUGCCUUCACAGAGUAUUCAUACCCCUUGACUUUUUCCACAUUUUGCUGUGUCACAGUCUGAAUUCAUAACAGAUUCAAUAUGUUUUAUGUUUUUAGAAACAUAUAUUUUUUUAAUUGAAUAUUAAACAUCCCUGAGUCAAUGUAUGUUAGAAUAACCUCUGGCAUCGAUUACAGCUGUGAGUCUUUCUGGGUAAGUCUCUAAGAGCUAUGCACACCUGGAUUGUACAAUAUUUGCACAUGGUGGUUGAUCAUGCUAGACAGCCAUUUUCAAGUCCUACCAUAGAUUUCCAAGCAGAUUUCAUUCAAAACUGUAACUAGGCCACUCAGGAACAUUUAAUGUCUUCUUGGUAAGCAACUCCAGUGUAUAUUUAGCCUUGAGUGUUAGGUUAUUGUCGUGCUCUAAAGUGCAUUUAUCUCCUAGCAAUGUUCCCUCAAUCUUUUUGCGGCGCUGAGCAAAUUUCAGGUCUGCUGAGAGCAAACUUGAAAGUUGUGAAAAUUCUUUACUGUGAACACUGAGAAUGUACCGGCUUUAAGUUAAAGUUACAACAGUGGCUACUGUGGCUAUUUGAUCAUAAUGUAGGACUACCAGGGUGGCCUACCAUCACAAACAAUAUAAAAAUGCAUCCCAUAACAUUUUAACAUGGAAAUAGCUGUCCUGUCAUUCAACCUACAGUAGCAGCCAGUGUGUGGUAUUCAAUGUUGGCCUAAAUUCCAUGAAACUUUUGGGGAAAAAACUAUGCAGGGCUUGACAUGAACCUGUUUAUCUGUCAUGCCCUGGCCAUAGAGAGGCUUUUAUUCUCUAUUUUGGUUAGGCCAGGGUGUGACUAGGGUGGGCAUUCUAGUUUCUUUAUUUCUAUGUUUUCUAUUUCGUUGUUUUUGGCCGAGUGUGGUUCCCAAUCAGAGACAGCUGUCUAUCGUUGUCUCUGAUUGGGAAUCAUACUUAGGCAGCCUUUUUCCUUUUUCCCCACCUGUGUUUUGUGGGUAGUUGUUUUCUGUAUAGGUGAUUUGCCUUACAGAACUGUUCGUUUUUCACUUUGUUAUUUUGUUAGAGUGUUUUGAGUAAUAAAUUAUCAUGAACACUUA